CCUACCCCUCUCUUACGAGCCUCUAAGAUCAGACACAUGGUUCAGGAUGGGAAAGUACAGUCCAUAGCAGCACUAUUGGGUGGAACAAAUCUGAAUUUCAUUAGGCAAUUCCGGUACAGGCAUCCCCUGGAGAUCUCUAACUCUAUCCCUCAACGCCCACUUCUUACAUCAUUUGAGAGCAUUUGUAUUGAUCCUGAACCAUGUGAGCAUGCUGUAGCUGUCCUGUAUGCCACCAUUCAGUGUCAAAUGAGGGCACCCCCACCUAACUUUAUGAGGAAAUGGGAGUAGGCUCUGGGUAGAAACUUUACCCCAAAACAAUGGCAAAAAUUACGACAUAACCCAACACUGUUCGAUUUCUAGUAGGUUCCAGGAGUAUGCCUAUAAGAUACUCUCCUUCUGGUACAAGAC